rnacentral:tRNA from 1 species
GGAAGAUCAUCGUCCCCGGUGGGGCGGCUGGGCUUCAAAUCCAGAUGGGGCCGCCAGCGGCUCCCGGCAGGUUCAACUCCUGUGAUCUUCCGCCA